UACGUAGGGUGCGAGCGUUAAUCGGAAUUACUGGGCGUAAAGCGUGCGCAGGCGGUUUUGUAAGCCAGAUGUGAAAUCCCCGGGCUCAACCUGGGAAUGGCAUUUGGGACUGCAAGGCUCGAGUUUGGCAGAGGAGACUGGAAUUCCUGGUGUAGCAGUGAAAUGCGUAGAUAUCAGGAGGAAUACCGAUGGCGAAGGCAGGUCUCUGGGCUGAAACUGACGCUCAUGCACGAAAGUGUGGGGAGCAAACAGG
rnacentral:rRNA from 1 species